rnacentral:rRNA from 1 species
UACGGAGGGGGCCAGCGUUGUUCGGAAUUACUGGGCGUAAAGCGCACGUGGGCGGCUUUGUAAGUUAGAGGUGAAAGCCCGGAGCUCAACUCCGGAAUUGCCUUUAAGACUGCAUCGCUAGAAUUGUGGAGAGGUGAGUGGAAUUCCGAGUGUAGAGGUGAAAUUCGUAGAUAUUCGGAAGAACACCAGUGGCGAAGGCGACUCACUGGACACAUAUUGACGCUGAGGUGCGAAAGCGUGGGGAGCAAACAGG